rnacentral:rRNA from 1 species
CCUACGGGUGGCAGCAGUGAGGAAUAUUGGUCAAUGGACGGAAGUCUGAACCAGCCAAGUAGCGUGAAGGAUGACUGCCCUAUGGGUUGUAAACUUCUUUUAUAUGGGAAUAAAGUGUUCCACGUGUGGGGUUUUGUAUGUACCCUGUGAAUAAGGAUCGGCUAAAUCCGUGCCAGCAGCCGCGGUAAUACGGGGGAUCCGAGCGUUCUCCGGAGUUAUUGGGUUUAAAGAGAGCGUAGGUGGGGUGUUAAGUCAGUGGUGAAAGUGUGCGGCUCAACCGUAAAAUUGCAGUUGAAACUGGCAGUCUUGAGUACAGUAGAGGUGGGCGGAAUUCGUGGUGUAGCGGUGAAAUGCUUAGAUAUCACGAAGAACUCCGAUUGCGAAGGCAGUUCACUGGACUGCAACUGACACUGAGGCUCGAAAGUGUGGGUAUCAAACAGGAUUAGAUACCCGAGUAGUC